GACCUCGUAGCUCAGUUGGCAGAGCAUUGGGCUAGUAUCCCAAAGGUCGCGGGUUCGAUUCUCACCGUGGUUA
rnacentral:tRNA from 1 species